ACUGACGCCUUCAAGGAAGUAUUUGCACAAGAUGCACUCUCACAAUGUCAAAGGUUUUGGUCCAUUCUCCUCCGUGGAAAGCUUCACGACUUCCAGCUGUUGACAAGAGCAUCGGUGAGCCCCAGGCUGGUGUGUGGAGCGAGAGGCCUGAUUGUGCUGGUGAUCGCUGGCGUGGCAGGAGCCAUGACCAGCUGGGGGCCUUCUUGGCCACCACACUGUACUGCCGCGGGUCAAGGCGGAGCCCAGGCCAAGCAUUGUUGUUGGCGGCAGCUGCAGUGAGAGCAACAAGCCUGGCGUCCAGCCUCCAGACCUGUGGAUCCAUCACGGCCACUUGGAGCUGAAGAACUUUGACAAGGGUGAGCGCAGCAACUCCCCCAACCACGCCUCCAUCAUCCAGCACACAGGAGUCGCGUCACAUCACAAUGGAACCAAAAAAGGACGAGAAGGGACAAGACAAGAAGAAAAGGUCUUCUGCCGC